GGGUGAGAAUCCCGUCCACCGAUUGACUAAGGUUUCCAGAGGAAGGCUCGUCCGCUCUGGGUUAGUCGGGUCCUAAGCUGAGGCCGACAGGCGUAGGCGAUGGAUAACAGGUUGAUAUUCCUGUACCACCUAUAAUCGUUUUAAUCGAUGGGGGGACGCAGUAGGAUAGGCGAAGCGUGCGAUUGGAUUGCACGUCUAAGCAGUAAGGCUGAGUAUUAGGCAAAUCCGGUACUCGUUAAGGCUGAGCUGUGAUGGGGAGAAGACAUUGUGUCUUCGAGUCGUUGAUUUCACACUGCCGAGAAAAGCCUCUAGAUAGAAAAUAGGUGCCCGUACCGCAAACCGACACAGGUAGUCAAGAUGAGAAUUCUAAGGUGAGCGAGCGAACUCUCGUUAAGGAACUCGGCAAAAUGACCCCGUAACUUCGGGAGAAGGGGUGCUCUUUAGGGUUAACGCCCAGAAGAGCCGCAGUGAAUAGGCCCAAGCGACUGUUUAUCAAAAACACAGGUCUCUGCUAAACCGUAAGGUGAUGUAUAGGGGCUGACGCCUGCCCGGUGCUGGAAGGUUAAGAGGAGUGGUUAGCUUCUGCGAAGCUACGAAUCGAAGCCCCAGUAAACGGCGGCCGUAACUAUAACGGUCCUAAGGUAGCGAAAUUCCUUGUCGGGUAAGUUCCGACCCGCACGAAAGGCGUAACGAUUUGGGCACUGUCUCAACGAGAGACUCGGUGAAAUCAUAGUACCUGUGAAGAUGCAGGUUACCCGCGACAGGACGG
rnacentral:rRNA from 1 species